rnacentral:rRNA from 1 species
GCGUCGCGUCUUGUGAUCAUAAUAACUUCUCGAAUCGCAUGGCCUUGUGUGGCGAUGCUUCAUUCAAAUAUCUGCCCUAUCAACUUUCGAUGGUAGGAUAGUUGGCCUACCAUGGUUUCAACGGGUAACGGGGAAUAAGGGUUCUAUUCCGGAGAGGGAGCCUGAGAAACGGCUACCACAUCCAAGGAAGGCAGCAGGCGCGCAAAUUACCCAAUCCCGAUGCGGGGAGGUAGUGACAAUAAAUACUGAUAUCAGGGCCUCUUUUGGGUCUUGUAAUUGGAAUGAGUACAAUUUAAAUCCCAUUAACGAGGAACAAUUGGAGGGCAGUCUGGUGCCAGCAGCCGCGGUAAUUCCAGCUCCAAUAGCGGUAUAUUAAAGUUGUUGCAGUUUAAAAAGCUCGUAGUUUGAACUUCAGACCUGA